rnacentral:rRNA from 1 species
CACCCAACAGCUAGCCCACUAAUACAAUAACAACAAAUCACUAUUAAUACCCCUACAUACACGAACAAUUAUGAACACUAAACCAUUCUUCCCCUCCAGUAUAGGAGAUAGAAAAAGGACUACGGAGCAAUAGAGAAAGUACCGCAAGGGAUUGCUGAAAGAGUAAUGAAAUAACCCAGUAAAGCUUUAAAAAGCAGAGAUAGCACCUCGUACCUUUUGCAUCAUGAUUUAGCUAGUGAACCACAAGCGAAGAGCACUUUAGUUUGACCACCCGAAACCAGGGGAGCUACUCCAAGACAGCCUAAGUAUAGGGCGAACCCGUCUCUGUGACAAAAGAGUGGGAUGAGCUUCGAGUAGAGGUGAUAAACCUACCGAACCUGGUAAUAGCUGGUUGCCCGAGAAUUGAAUAGAAGUUCAGCCUCAUGGCUUCUACACUCACCAAGGUACUACUACAGAUUGAUACCCCUAGAAACUAUGAGAGUUAGUCAAAGGGGGUACAGCCCCUUUGAAAUAAGAUACAACUUUUAUGGGAGGAUAAAGAUCAUA